rnacentral:rRNA from 1 species
CAGCCGCCGCGGUAAUACGUAGGGUGCGAGCGUUAAUCGGAUUUACUGGGCGUAAAGCGUGCGCAGGCGGCCCGUUAAGACAGGUGUGAAAUCCCUGGGCUCAACCUAGGAAUUGCGCUUGUGACUGGCGGGCUCGAGUACGGUAGAGGGGGGUGGAAUUCCUGGUGUAGCAGUGAAAUGCGUAGAGAUCAGGAGGAACACCGAUGGCGAAGGCAGCCCCCUGGGCCUGUACUGACGCUCAUGCACGAAAGCGUGGGGAGCAAACAGGAUUAGAUACCCUGGUAGUCCACGCCCUAAACGAUGGGUACUAGCCGUUUGGUGCGCGAUAGCGCUGAGUGGCGAAGCUAACGCGUGAAGUACCCCGCCUGGGGAGUACGGCCGCAAGGCUGAAACUUAAAGGAAUUGGCGGG